UACUCCUACGGGAGGCAGCAGUUAGGAAUCUUCGUCAAUGGGCGAAAGCCUGAACGAGCGACGCCGCUUGAGGGACGAAGCCCUUCGGGGUGUAAACCUCUGAACAGGGGACGAUGAUGACGGUACCCUGCUAAUAGCACCGGCUAACUCCGUGCCAGCAGCCGCGG
rnacentral:rRNA from 1 species